UCAGCUUGUUGGUGAGGUAAUGGCUCACCAAGGCGACGACGGGUAGCCGGCCUGAGAGGGUGACCGGCCACACUGGGACUGAGACACGGCCCAGACUCCUACGGGAGGCAGCAGUGGGGAAUAUUGCACAAUGGGCGCAAGCCUGAUGCAGCGACGCCGCGUGAGGGAUGACGGCCUUCGGGUUGUAAACCUCUUUCAGUAGGGAAGAAGCGAAAGUGACGGUACCUGCAGAAGAAGCACCGGCUAACUACGUGCCAGCAGCCGCGGUAAUACGUAGGGUGCGAGCGUUAUCCGGAAUUAUUGGGCGUAAAGAGCUCGUAGGCGGUUUGUCGCGUCUGUCGUGAAAGUCCGGGGCUUAACCCCGGAUCUGCGGUGGGUACGGGCAGACUAGAGUGCAGUAGGGGAGACUGGAAUUCCUGGUGUAGCGGUGGAAUGCGCAGAUAUCAGGAGGAACACCGAUGGCGAAGGCAGGUCUCUGGGCUGUAACUGACGCUGAGGAGCGAAAGCAUGGGGAGCGAACAGGAUUAGAUACCCUGGUAGUCCAUGCCGUAAACGUUGGGCACUAGGUGUGGGGACCAUUCCACGGUUUCCG
rnacentral:rRNA from 1 species